rnacentral:rRNA from 1 species
GACGAACGCUGGCGGCGUGCCUAAUACAUGCAAGUCGAGCGGACUGAGUAAGAGCUUGCUCUUAUGACGUUAGCGGCGGACGGGUGAGUAACACGUGGACAACCUGCCCUGUAGAUCGGGAUAACACCGAGAAAACGGUGCUAAUACCGGGUAAUAUCUGAGAUCACAUGAUCUUAGGUUAAAAGAUGGCUCCGGCUAUCACUACAGGAUGAGCCCGCGGCGCGUUAGCUAGUUGGUAAGGGAAUGGCUUACCAAGGCGCCGAUGCGUAGCCGACCUGGGAGGGUGGACGGGCACACUGGGGAUGAGACACGGCCCAAACUCCCACGGGGGGCAGGCGGAGGGGAUCUUCCGGAAAGGGCGAAAAGCCGACGGGGCAACGGCGCGGGGGUGAAUGAGGGUUUCGGCGCGUAAAGCCCUGUUGUUAGGGGAGAAAAAGUAUCGAUCGGAAUAGGGCGGUAGCUUGACGGUACCUAACCAGAAAGCCACGGCUAACUACGUG